rnacentral:rRNA from 1 species
GACGAACGCUGGCGGCGUGCUUAACACAUGCAAGUCGAACGGUAGAGCCCUGCCUUGGUGGGGUGGUCGAGUGGCGAACGGGUGAGUAACACGUGAGUAACCUGCCCCUGACUUUGGGAUAAGCUCAGGAAACGGGGUCUAAUACUGGAUAGGAGCUGCGUCUGCAUGGUGGGGGUUGGAAAGUUUCGUCGGUUGGGGAUGGACUCGCGGCUUAUCAGCUUGUUGGUGGGGUAGUGGCUUACCAAGGCUUUGCCGGGUAGCCGGCCUGAGAGGGCGACCGGCCACACUGGGCCUGAGACACGGCCCAGACUCCUACGGGAGGCAGAAGUGGGGAAUAUUGCACUAUGGGCGAAAGCCUGAUGCAGCGACGCCGCGUGAGGGAUGACGGCCUUCGGGUUGUAAACCUCUUUCAGCAGGGAAGAAGCGAAAGUGACGGUACCGGGAGAAGAAGCACCGGCUAACUACGUG